rnacentral:rRNA from 1 species
UUGACCUCGGAUCAGGUAGGAAUACCCGCUGAACUUAAGCAUAUCAAUAAGCGGAGGAAAAGAAACCAACAGGGAUUGCCCUAGUAACGGCGAGUGAAGCGGCAACAGCUCAAAUUUGAAAUCUGGCCUUCGGGUCCGAGUUGUAAUUUGCAGAGGAUGCUUUUGGCGAGGUGCCUUCCGAGUUCCCUGGAACGGGACGCCUUAGAGGGUGAGAGCCCCGUACGGUUGGACACCGAGCCUCUGUAAAGCUCCUUCGACGAGUCGAGUAGUUUGGGAAUGCUGCUCUAAAUGGGAGGUAAAUUUCUUCUAAAGCUAAAUACCGGCCAGAGACCGAUAGCGCACAAGUAGAGUGAUCGAAAGAUGAAAAGCACUUUGAAAAGAGGGUUAAAUAGCACGUGAAAUUGUUGAAAGGGAAGCGUUUACGGCCAGACCUUCUCCUGGCGGAUCAUCCGGUGUUCUCACCGGUGCACUUCGCCAGGUUUAGGCCAGCAUCGGCUUCUGUAGGGGGAUAAAAGCAGUGGGAAAGUAGCUCUCUCGGGAGUGUUAUAGCCCUAAGCAUAAUACCUUUACGGGGGCCGAGGACCGCGCUCUGCAAGGA